AGGGAAUCUUCCACAAUGGACGCAAGUCUGAUGGAGCAACGCCGCGUGAGUGAAGAAGGUUUUCGGACCGUAAAGCUCUGUUGUUGGUGAAGAAGGAUAGAGGUAGUAACUGGCCUUUAUUUGACGGUAAUCAACCAGAAAGUCACGGCUAACUACGUGCCAGCAGCCGCGGUAAUACGUAGGUGGCAAGCGUUGUCCGGAUUUAUUGGGCGUAAAGCGAGCGCAGGCGGAAGAAUAAGUCUGAUGUGAAAGCCCUCGGCUUAACCGAGGAUUGCAUCGGAAACUGUUUUCUUGAGUGCAGAAGAGGAGAGUAGAACUCCAUGUGUAGCGGUGGAAUGCGUAGAUAUAUGGAAGAAUACCAGUGGCGAAGGCGGCUCUCUGGUCUGCAACUGACGCUGAGGCUCGAAAGCAUGGGUAGCGAACAGGAUUAGAUACCCUGGUAGUCCAUGCCGUAAACGAUGAGUGCUAAGUGUUGGGAGGCUUCCGCCUCUCAGUGCUGCAGCUAACGCAUUAAGCACUCCGCCUGGGGGAGUACGACCGCAAGGUUGAAAC
rnacentral:rRNA from 1 species